rnacentral:lncRNA from 1 species
AUUGGAUAAACUGCUUAAACCAAUGCUGGGUACAGGGCAGGUACUAUUCAGGUUAGCUGUUACUGUUAUUGUUAUUCUUUUCAUCAUCUUGAUAAGGCAUGCAGAGACGAUGCUGACACAAACAAUCUGACAAGUGAGGCUGGAUAAAAUGAAGAGCAACUUGAAAAUGAUUUCUGAUAACACUGUUAAUUAUAACACAGAGAAAACCUUUCCCCAGAGAAGCAAUUGCUAUUUUGAUUGGCUCUUAAGUUAACAUACUGUUUGUUUUUUUCAGUUCAACCAUUGAAUAACUACAGUGAGGCAGGGUAAGUUACACAGCAGUGUCUAAAAUAUGAGCCUUGCUCUUGAAAAGCUUUCCUUCUGGAGGGGAUAUAGGGUGAUCACUGCUGGCUCCAGAGUUUUCUGUAGUAUUCAUAGUGGUGUCAUGGCUUCAGCAAUUGCUGAUUUCCAUUUGCUGGACUUUUCCUUUGGUUUACUUUAACAUUUCAUUUAAUGUAAGUGCCUAGAUCAAAGUGCUGAAUAAACUGGCCGUCAGUAAGUUUUGAGAGAUGAGCUUGGAAGGUAGAAGAUUCAAACACACUUAUAAGAUGGAACAACCAUUCUCUCUUGCUACCCCCUUUUUGUCCUGGAAUUGCCACUGUGUAUAUGCCCAGAGCCUGAGGAAUGCUUGAAUCCUGGGUCAGAAAGAAAAAUCUGAGGUCCACAAGGGGUGUGGCUUCAAAGGCAAGAACUUUCCAGCGCCAUGCCUCCAUCUACCUCCCCAUCCAGGAACCUAGAGUUCUUUGCCUAACUUUCCCCCAAGGGGCUAGGUAAAAUUUCAGGUGUGCUCCUUUGUUUAAAGAGACCGCCAAAAGCCCUGGAAAGAGGGGCUCUAUUGUGGGCCAAGCCGCUAAUCCAAUACCGGAGUCAAAAAUCAAUCACUCCAGAGGAAGUCCGAAAGAACUCCUCUCAUUGGACAAGAACGAGAAUCGGGCAGGAAUAACCUCAAAGUUAAAACUCCACUGUAACUUACCUGUGCAGACUCCAUCUCUGGAUCCUCUCCCACAACAGCAUGGGACUCUCUCUCUCUCUCUCUCUCUCUCUGCCUAAUAAAUC